GACAAACGCUGGCGGCGUGCUUAACACAUGCAAGUCGAACGCUGAAGCCCCUCGGGGUGGAUGAGUGGCGAACGGGUGAGUAACACGUGGGUAAUCUGCCCUGCACUCUGGGAUAAGCCUUGGAAACGGGGUCUAAUACCGGAUAGGACACAUCGCCGCAUGGUGUGUGUGUGGAAAGUUCCGGCGGUGCAGGUUGAGCCCGCGGCCUAUCAGCUUGUUGGUAGGGUGAUGGCCUACCAAGGCGACGCCGGGUAGCCGGCCUGAGAGGGUGACCGGGCACACUGGGACUGAGACACGGCCCAGACUCCUACGGGAGGCAGCAGUGGGGAAUCUUGCGCAAUGGGCGAAAGCCUGACGCAGCAACGCCGCGUGGGGGAUGACGGCCUUCGGGUUGUAAACCUCUUUCGACCGGGACGAAGGAUUCGUUUGACGGUACCGGUAGAAGAAGCACCGGCUAACUACGUGCCAGCCGCCGCCGUAA
rnacentral:rRNA from 1 species